GCCUGGUCAGGAGCUAGAUCGAUCUUCCCUGACACGGAAGAGGUCACUGGUUCAAUCCCAGUAUCGCGCACCA
rnacentral:tRNA from 2 species